GCCAAUAACCAAAAUCACUCAAGAGUGCACCCAAUGUUGUCAGAUCUCGGAGGUUAAGCAGGCUUAAGCCUGGAGAGUGCUUGGAUGGGCCACCACCAUGCAUAAAAUAGAUGUUAUAGACU
rnacentral:rRNA from 1 species